rnacentral:rRNA from 1 species
GGGUCAGUAGGUUGGUCGUGCCACCGGUACGUACUGGUCUCACUGAUUCCUCCUUCCUGAAGAACCGUAAUGCCAUUAAUUUGGUGUUGCGGGGAAACAGGACUGUCACUUUGAAAAAAUUAGAGUGUUUAAAGCAAGCUAACGCUUGAAUACAUUAGCAUGGAGUAAUGAAAUAGGACGAUCGAUCCUAUUUUGUUGGUUUCUAGGAUUGACGUA